AAUAUAAAUUAUCUAAAUAAUACUCAUUAGGGAAUUGUUACUUUAUUUUCAUAGGUGGUUCACUCCGUCAGCUUUUUUUUUUUUUUUUUUUUGUUCCAGUAGGAACAGGAGACUUGGCAAAGCUGGUCAGUCCUCUAUACCUAAAAAUGAAGGGACCCCAAUCUUCUCUGGAAUUGAACUCAUUUUGGAUCACCAGUAUGUUCAUUAGGAGGAAAAUCUGGAGAGUACAUAUCACCUGUUAGAAGAUAUUGAUUAAAAGUAUAUCAAGUUUUCUUCAGAUUUCAAGUUAAUCUCUAAGCAAAGCCACCUGUAAGAAAGCAUUCUUCUUGAGAAAACUGUAGCAUUUAUCUUUACUCUCCUUGUACUUCAUUUCCUGAGAAUUGCAAUGCUUUUUCAAUGAUUCCCUUACAGUGUGACAGUGGCAGUCAGGUAUCCAAGUCACAUAUUAAAACAUCAGAGCCACCACUAGGAUCCUUCCAGAGUUUCCAUGGUUUUCAGAAAUUGGGAGGCAUAUGGAAAAGAGUGAAAGUCCUUUAUAGCCACUUUCCCCAAGCAGAGAGUUUCAAGCAGAGGGACAAGGAUUAUAAUGUAUGUUAUACCACAAACGCAAACAUUUCAGAAUGUAAGCAAAACAUUAUCUUUUGGAAACUAAUUGAAUAA
rnacentral:lncRNA from 12 species